GGCUAUCAUAAGAGCAACAAGAUCUACUCAGGAAAGGUGCCCCUAACUUCCUCACAUAAUGCUUUAAAAAAUAAAGACGUCGAGUUAGGUGGCAGGAAAUAUCACAUCAAAGGUUCUCCUGGUACUGGUGCUUUUGCUAAAUUAUACAAAGCUAGUGUUGAUGGCAACACGGAAGAAAUAGUUGCUUUGAAGGUUCAAAAGCCUGCAUUUCCUUGGGAAUUUUACAUGUACCGCCAGCUUGAUACGCGUAUAUCUGAUAUUCAGAGACCAAGCUAUGGCUAUGCUCAUGAAGUGCAUGUCUUUGCUGACGUCAGUGUGCUAGUUUGCAAUUUCCUGCCAUACGGAACUCUUCUGGACGCUAUAAAUUCCCAUUUAGUUGUUGGUCAGCACAUGGAUGAAGUUUUGUGCAUAUAUUACACUAUAGAGAUGUUGCACAUGCUUGAAACUCUACAUAGUGUUGGCAUAAUCCAUGGUGAUUUCAAACCUGACAAUAUGCUUGUCUGCUAUCCAAGUGAAGAGAUCACAGACGAUACCUUCAGGAGCGAAACGAGAAGCGGGCAGAAUCAGGGGCUGUGUCUUAUUGACUGGGGCCGGGGCAUUGAUGUGAAUCUCUUCCCAGCCGGCACGGAGUUCCUUGCGGAUUGUGGAACCUCAGGGUUCAGUUGUAUCGAGAUGCAAGAAGAGAGAAGCUGGACAUAUCAAGUUGACACUUUUGGUCUGUGCGUGGUUGCACACAUGAUGCUGCACGGGGAAGAGAUGAGCAUCGCCAAGGUGCCCGGAACAGGUGGAAGCUACAUGUACCAACCGAAAUUGUCAUUUAAAAGGUACUGGAACGUUGCGCUGUGGAAGCAGCUCUUCACCACGCUGCUGAACCCGGGCUCCAACGGGAACCACGUAGGCGACCUCCGGAGCCUCCGGAGAUCGUUCCAGGAGUACAUGUGCAGCAACUAUCAGCUGGUGGUCAAGCUGAACCAGCUGCUGGCAAAGCAGAAGGCCUCCCUGUGCUCAUCCUGA
rnacentral:rRNA from 1 species